CUUCAGCGAGCCGAGCCACAACGGCGUCUCACGGUCCUUGCCGUAGGUGGCCAGCAGGGCCUGGGCCUC
rnacentral:antisense_RNA from 1 species